rnacentral:rRNA from 1 species
GGAUGCGAUCAUACCAGCACUAAUGCACCGGAUCCCAUCAUAACUUCGAAGUGAAGCGUGCUUGGGCGAAAGUAAUAGUAGGAUGGGUGACCUGUGAGAAGUCUUUUGUUGCAUCUC